GGACUCACAGGCCUCCCUUCCACUCACAGCUUUUUGAAGUAGCUCUGUGGACUUACACCAGAGAGAUGAAAAGCUGAAAUCCAGCUGCCGUUCAUUCCUGCUUUGAGAUUAGGAAAGGUAGAGCUGAAUUUGGGCUAUGUUACUCAGAAGCUUUUCCCCAGCUGAUGGAGGCCUGCCCUGGAGGUGCUCAGCUCCAUCUCUGCUGUCCAGGCUGUGAGCAAGAACACCUAAGGAAAGCCAGCAGCCUCCUUCACUCUCCCUCCCCAUCCAUUCAGAUUUUAGGAGAUCUGCAGGUGCCAGGGAUCCUGCCUCCAGCUUGGGUCCAGGGUAAAUUUCGGCCAAGAUGAAGCCUCUUAUUGGCUGCAUGAAUUCUAGCCUCCUUCAUUAACAUGCCUCCUGGUAAAAGAGCCAUUCAGGAUGCCUGGAGGAGCCCAGAUUUCAAAUCUGAUGAAGUCUGCAGUUCUAUAAAUUCCCUCCCUCUUUUGUGCUGAUGGCAACGACUUUUAUAUGUAUUUUCAUGUCUUUCUCUCCAGAGAUAAAUUUUGUGGCCUGCCACUGAAUCUGCUUCCUAAAAUGUAGCUUGGAGAUUUUAUUUGAGAUAAACUAUCAUGUGA
rnacentral:lncRNA from 1 species